rnacentral:tRNA from 1 species
UAUUUUAUAGUCAAUUUAUGACUCUAGAUUGCAAAUCUGGGAGAGUAUACAAUUAUACUAAAGUA